GACGAACGCUGGCGGCGUGCCUAACACAUGCAAGUCGAGCGGAGUCGAUCGACGGAAGCCUUCGGGCGGAAGAUGGUUGACUUAGCGGCGGAUGGGUGAGUAACGCGUGGGCAACCUGCCUCGAAGACCGGGAUAACAGCCCGAAAGGGCUGCUAAUACCGGAUGUGGUCAAAGAUCCGCAUGGAUUUUUGAUUAAAGGGGAAACCCGUUUCGAGAUGGGCCCGCGUCCUAUCAGCUAGUUGGUGAGGUAAAAGCUCACCAAGGCGACGACGGGUAGCCGGCCUGAGAGGGUGACCGGCCACACUGGAACUGAGACACGGUCCAGACUCCUACGGGGGGCAGCAGUGGGGAAUCUUCCACAAUGGGCGAAAGCCUGAUGGAGCGACGCCGCGUGAGCGAAGAAGGCCUCGGUUGUAAGCUCUGUCUGGAGGGACGAAGGAAGUGACGGUACCUCCGGAGGAAGCCACGGCUAACUACGUGCCAGCAGCCGCGGUAUGAGUAGUACA
rnacentral:rRNA from 1 species